rnacentral:sRNA from 2 species
CCGCCCCUCAUUGGGGAGUAGCCGCCCCGCAGCGCGUUCGUCUGGCAACCAGGCCGGGCUCGUGGAACGCGAACUCGCGGGGGCGCCUGUCAACAGACUUGGCCGUCACGGCCAUGGCAGCCGCAGCCUCAGGCCUGGCGAGACCGAUGACCCACACCCCGCCGCAAUUGGGCCCGGCGUGUCGUGGGUCGUCGCUCGUUCAAUCUCGGC